AUCCAGCUGAUGAGUCUUAAAUAGGACGAAACGCACGUCAAACCGUAU
rnacentral:hammerhead_ribozyme from 1 species